GACAUAGGUGGCAAACGUUAUCCGGAAUUACUGGGCGUAAAGAGUGCGUAGGUGGUUCAAUAAGUUACUGGUGGGAAAUCGGGGCCCAACCCCGGGGAAGUUGGUAAUACUGUUGAACUAGAGGACCGGAGAGGUUAACGGAAUUCUAUGUGUAGCCGUCAAAUGCUCAAAUAUAUAGAGGAACACCCAACGGCGAAGGCAGUUAACUAUUCUGUGCCUGACGUUGAGGCACGAAAGCGUGGGGAGCAAGACGG
rnacentral:rRNA from 1 species